GUGAAGAACGUAGCGAAAUGCGAUAAGUAAUGUGAAUUGCAGAAUUCAGUGAAUCAUCGAAUCUUUGAACGCACCUUGCGCCCUUUGGCUAUUCCGAAGGGCAUGCCUGUUUGAGUAUCAUGAAAACCUCAACUCUCAUGGCUUGCCAUGAUGAGCUUGGACUCUGGGGGUCUUGCUGGCUUUACGGUCAGCUCCUCUCAAAUAAAUCAGCUUGCCGGUGUUUGGUGGGAUCACAGGUGUGAUAACUAUCUACGCUUGUGGUUUUCCGCCAGGUAACCUUCAGCAAUGGAGGUUCGCUGGAGCUCAUAAAUGUCUCUCCUCAGCGAGGACAGAUUUUGACCGUUUGAUCUCAAAUCAGGUAGGACUACCCGCUGAACUUAAGCAUAUCAAUAAGCGGAGGA
rnacentral:misc_RNA from 1 species